rnacentral:rRNA from 1 species
CAACCUGCCCCAAAGCGGGGGAUAACAUUUGGAAACAGGUGCUAAUACCGCAUAACUUGGAAAACCACAUGGUUUUCCAAUAAAAGAUGGUUUCGGCUAUCACUUUGGGAUGGGCCCGCGGUGCAUUAGCUAGUUGGUAAGGUAACGGCUUACCAAGGCGAUGAUGCAUAGCCGAGUUGAGAGACUGAUCGGCCACAAUGGAACUGAGACACGGUCCAUACUCCUACGGGAGGCAGCAGUAGGGAAUCUUCCACAAUGGGCGCAAGCCUGAUGGAGCAACACCGCGUGAGUGAAGAAGGGUUUCGGCUCGUAAAACUCUGUUGUUGGAGAAGAACGUGCGUAAGAGUAACUGUUUACGCAGUGACGGUAUCCAACCAGAAAGUCACGGCUAACUACGUGCCAGCAGCCGCGGUAAUACGUAGGUGGCAAGCGUUAUCCGGAUUUAUUGGGCGUAAAGCGAGCGCAGGCGGUUGCUUAGGUCUGAUGUGAAAGCCUUCGGCUUAACCGAAGAAGUGCAUCGGAAACCGGGCGACUUGAGUGCAGAAGAGGACAGUGGAACUCCAUGUGUAGCGGUGGAAUGCGUAGAUAUAUGGAAGAACACCAGUGGCGAAGGCGGCUGUCUGGUCUGCAACUGACGCUGAGGCUCGAAAGCAUGGGUAGCGAACAGGAUUAGAUACCCUGGUAGUCCAUGCCGUAAACGAUGAGUGCUAGGUGUUGGAGGGGUUCCGCCCUUCAGUGCCGAAGCUAACGCAUUAAGCACUCCGCCUGGGGAGUACGACCGCAAGGUUAAACUCAAAGGAAUUGACGG